rnacentral:rRNA from 1 species
CCCGUCUUGGGCGGGCGGCCCGCGCCCGUGUGAAGCUCCUUCGACGAGUCGAGUUGUUUGGGAAUGCAGCUCUAAGCGGGUGGUAAAUUUCAUCUAAAGCUAAAUACCGGCCGGAGACCGAUAGCGCACAAGUAGAGUGAUCGAAAGGUUAAAAGCACCUUGAAAAGGGAGUUAAACAGCACGUGAAAUUGUUGAAAGGGAAGCGCUUGCGGCCAGACUCGGGGGGCGGGGUUCAGCGGGCGCUCGUCGCCCGUGCACUGCCCGCUCCCCGGGCCAGCAUCAGCUUCGACGGCCGGUCAAAGGCCCCCGGAAUGUGUCGUCUCUAGGGACGUCUUAUAGCCGGGGGUGCAAUGCGGCCCGUCGAGACUGAGGAACGCGCUCCGGCUCGGAUGCUGGCGUAAUGGCCGUAAGCGGCCCGUCUUGAAACACGGACCAAGGAGUCUAACAUCCACGCGAGUGUUCGGGUGUCAAACCCGUGCGCGCAGUGAAAGCGAACGGAGGUGGGAGCCCCCCCCCAGGGCGCACCAUCGACCGAUCCUGAAGUCUUCGGAUGGAUUUGAGUAGGAGCGUGGCCGUUGGGACCCGAAAGAUGGUGAACUAUGCCUGAAUAGGGUGAAGCCAGAGGAAACUCUGGUGGAGGCUCGCAGCGGUUCUGACGUGCAAAUCGAUCGUCAAAUUUGGGCAUAGGGGCGAAAGACUAAU